AAAAAGGUAGUGAGAAAGAGGAGUACAUUCAAAACCCUGACAGAGAGAAUAUUUCAUCGGCUGGAAGAAUAUUCAAGGCAGUGUGAAUGGAAGGUAGCUUUUGAACCGGAGGAUUGAACCGGAUGAAAUUGUGGAUAACCUGGCGGAUUAGCCGGAUAUCUGUGGAUAAGAUUUCAUCGUAAAGUAGAUUUUCACGUAUCAUCCACGUUAUCGGAUGACUGAGAUGUAUUUGCAGAAGAUUUCUGUAAAUAUAAAUAAAGGUGGUACCGCGGAUUAUUCGCCCUUUGC
rnacentral:ncRNA from 1 species